ensembl:lncRNA novel transcript, antisense to CARS
GUAGUUCAACCCAAUGGCGACCCGCGCUCCGGAGCAUCGCGCGGCCAAGCGUUCAGUGGCCGUGCUGGGAGUAGUCAGCCCAGCCGCGGGGAGACAAGCACUAAAGACUGAGCGUCCUCUUGGGGACGCUUGUGUGAAGUCCUUUUCCUCUCUGUGCCUCAGUUUCCACUCAGCCGUUUAAACAACCAGAAUUUCAGUCUUCCAGCACAGACACCUGGGGCUGCAAUAAGGUGAAUGCAGACACCAUGACGCAGGCUAAAACUGGGAGUGCAGGCAGGAAGGCCUGGGGCUGCCCCACACCCACUCCUGGAAGUUUUGGGGACUUUGCUGCUGCUCAUGCAAAGGUCUAAAUGCCCAGCUCUGUGCCAGGGCCCUGAGACACCGUCAGGCAUUUCCAGGAGGAUGUGCCCAAACGCCAGCAUGGUCCUGACAGGGCUGCCAGGCUCAUUUGCCUCUUCUGAAAGCAAAAAGAAGAGACAUGAAAUGAAUUUCUAUUAACUGGGACCAUGACUUCUGCGAAGGAAUGAAAAUGCUUUUAAUUCAUAACCAAGAAAUCCUACUUACAUUUGAAAAACUUGUCAACCCAUUGCUGAACAUCUGGGAGAACACGGGGCGGGGGUGGGCUUCGUUAGUGCCCAGCCUGGAACCCCCCAAUUGCCCCGAGGACCUCCCUGGCUCAAGUAGCUCCAGUCUCUCCCGGCUUGAUACCAGGAACAUCAUGGCGCACAGCUCGCGUCCCAGGUCAGCCUUCGUCUUCUGUCUAUAAUUACACCACCCUCUUGAACGUCCCUGGACCAGACGUGUAUAACAGCACAUGUCCAUGAGCCGACAUCAAGAGGACCAUGCUCUGCAUACCAUCCUGUGGCAUGCCCUCCCCUCUGUGGGACCCCUCAUGUUGUGCAGGGACCCCCAGUCCUCUCUCACAGCUGUGCAGUGUGCCGCUGUGGGAACUCACAGCUGUUUACAGCCCUUUCUCUGUCGUGGACAUCUGCUUGGGAGGCUGAGGCAGGAGGAUCGCUUAAGCCCAGCGGUCAAGGCUGCAGUGAGUGGAGACACUCAACGCCAGCUGCUGUGAAAGCAGCCAGGAGGGAGGUUGUACCCUGAAAAGCCACAGGGUCAGAGCUGCCCAAGACCAUGGGAACCCACCUCUUGCAUCUGCGUGGCCUGGAUGUGAGACCUGGAGUCAAAAGAGAUCGUUUUGGAACUUUAAAAUUUGACUCCCCCUCUGGAUUUUGGACUUGCAUGGGCCCUGUAACCCCUUUGUUUUGGCCAAUCUCUCCCAUUUGAAACAGCUGUAUUUACCCAAUACCUGUACCCCCAUUGUAUCUAGGAAGUAACGAGCUUGCUUUUGAUUUUACAGGCUCAUAGGCGGAAGGGACUUGCCUUGUCUCAGAUGAGACUUUGGACUGUGGACUUUUGGGUUAAUGCUGAAAUGAGCUAAGACUUUGGGAGACUCCAGGGAAGGUAUGAUUGGUUUUGAAAUGUGAGGACUUGAGAUUUGGAGGUGUCAGGAGUGGAAUGAUAUGGUUUGGGUAUGUCCCCACCCAGAUCUCAUCUUGAAUUGUCCUCCUAUAACUCCCACGUGUUGUGGGGGAGACCCGGUGGGAGAUAAUUUGAAUCAUGGGGGUGUUUUCCCCCAUACUGUUCUCGUGGUAGUGAAUAAGUCUCAUGAGAUCUGAUGGUUUUAUCAGGGGUUUCCACUUUUGCAUCUUCCUUAUUUUCUCUUGCUGCCACCAUGUAAGAAGUGCCCCUUUCAGCCGCGACUGGAGCAGCUGGGACGAAGGGCACCAAGUCCCUAGGCUGCAAACAGCACGGGGACCCUGGGACCAGCCCACAAAACCAUUUUCUCCUAGGCCUCCAGGCCUGCGAAGACCUUUGACAUGCCCUGGAGACAUACCCCAUUGUCUUGGGGAUUAACAUUCCGCUCUCGUUACUCAUGCAAAUUUCUGCAGCUGGCUUGAAUUUCUCCUCAGAAAAUGGGUUUUUCUUUUCUAUCAUAUUGUCAGACUGCAAAUUUUCCAAACUUUUACGCUCUGCUUCCCUUAUAAAACUGAAUGCCUUUAACAGUACCCAAGUCACCUCUCGAAUGUUUUGCUGCUUAGAAAUUUCUUCUGCCAGAUACCCUAAGUCAUCUCUGUCAAAUUCAAAGUUCCACAAAUCUCUAGGACAGGGGCAAAAUGCUGCCGGUCUCUGCUAAAAUAUAACAAGAAUCACCUUUGCUCCAGUUCCCAGCAAGUUCCUUAUCUUCAUCUGAGACCACCUCAGCCUGGACCUUAUUGUCCAUAUUGCUCUUGGGCUUUUGGUCAAAGCCAUUCAACAAGUCUCUAGGAGGUUCCAAACUUUCCCACAUUUUCCUGUCUCCUUCUAAGCCCUCCAAACUGUUUCCGUCUCUGCCUGUUACCCAGUUCCAAAGUCACUUCCACAUUUUUGGGUAUCUUUUCAGCAAUGCCCCACUCUACUGGUACCGAUUUCUGUAUUAGUCCAUUUUCAUGCUGCUGAUAAAGACA